AACGAACGCUGGCGGCAUGCCUAACACAUGCAAGUCGAACGAGACCUUCGGGUCUAGUGGCGCAUGGGUGCGUAACGCGUGGGAACCUGCCCUUAGGUUCGGAAUAACUCCCCGAAAGGGGUGCUAAUACCGGAUAAUGUCUUCGGACCAAAGAUUUAUCGCCCUUGGAUGGGCCCGCGUUGGAUUAGCUAGUUGGUAGGGUAAAAGCCUACCAAGGCGACGAUCCAUAGCUGGUCUGAGAGGAUGAUCAGCCACACUGGGACUGAGACACGGCCCAGACUCCUACGGGAGGCAGCAGUGGGGAAUAUUGGACAAUGGGCGAAAGCCUGAUCCAGCAAUGCCGCGUGAGUGAUGAAGGCCUUAGGGUUGUAAAGCUCUUUUACCCGGGAUGAUAAUGGCAGUACCGAGAGAAUAAGCUCCGGCUAACUCCGUG
rnacentral:rRNA from 1 species